GUGCUAAGCUUAGUGCUCUCUCUCCCACCACCAGUGGCAGAGCCACUGUGUGGGGAGAAACACCUUUUUAUCUUGGAGAGGGGCAGCCUUGUUUCUGAGGACAGAUGGGAGCAAAACGGGACAGGUAGGAAGUUUCGUGGUUUCUCGUGUCGCUUCUCCAAAAUAGCCACACUGCUGCCUCCCACUUCCUGCCUGACUCGGCUGGGGUAGAUUUUCUCCUUUAGAGGAUUUGUGUUCUGUGUAUUCCCAGGGAGGCUCGAAGGGAUCUGUUGCCAAAAACAUGCUUGACACUGAAGCCCUGGAGCUUGGCACUGAGGGCCCCAGCUCAGGUUUGGACCACUGGGUUUGCAUCCGGGCUCUGUCUCAUACUGGCUGCGUGACCUUGGGCAAAUGACUUCACUUCUCUGUGCCUCAUCAGUAGGAUGGAGAUAACAACUCUAGCUAUAUCCAGCAGUUACUCUGCAGAUUAAAUGAAUAUGUGUAAAGGGCACAGCCCAGUGUGGGCACAUAGCAACUCUUAAUGAAUCUCUUAAUAAAAAACAGCAAUGUUGUUGUUGAUCUCCAUCCCCUACCUGGAAAACUGUACCAGCCUCCCAGCCACCUUCCCUUUCCCCUGGCUUGCCUGCUCCAGCACAUCCCAGCAUGAUCCGAGAGUGAUAGAAACGUGAAACACAAAUCUGACCCUGCUAUCUGCUGCUUAAAAUCCACCCAUAGCUUCCAGCGUCUAUGGCAGGAAUGAGCAUUCUUUUGCUCUGAAUGGCCAGAUAGUAUUUGAAGCUUUGCCGGGCAUAUAGUCUCUCUUGACUUUGUCAUUGCAGCCUGGAAGCAACCACAGAUAAUAUGUAAAAAAUGGGCGUGGUUGUGUUCCAGUAAAAUUUUAUGUACGAAAACAGGCAGCCGGCUGGAUUUGCCAACCCUUGACCUACAGGAUGAAUCCAGACCCUUAGCUCAGCAUUCCCAGUUCAGCCUGUUCCCGUUAUCUCCAUCCUUCUUCCUCCCCCACCCCUGCUCUUGUGCAGAACAUGUCACACUUUAAUCCUUUGCGUGUGCUGCUCCCUCUUUCUGAGUUUUCCUUCCCUGCCCCCUGAGUGCCCCUUCCCCAUGGCAUUAGGACCUUUACUCUGGGAUUCUGUGGUACCCUGUCUUUAUUUCUACCCUGGUCAUAUAUGCAAGUUCCAUCUGUCUCUCCAUGAGAGGGGCUCCCCUCUAGGCAGGGAUUCGGCCUUCCUCUUCUGUACACCCAGCAGGGUGCUGCUGUAUAGGUUUCUGCAGGUGCUCAGUAAGCAUUUGUUAUUGAACCCAAGGAUCUGCAAGAUGGAUGGUUGGCCUCAGGGAGCUCACAGUCAGCUUAGAAAGCUAGGAUAUGAGCCAGUCAAAAGCCAGCCAGCAAUCCAGGCAGGAAAUGAUGAUGGUCUGUGUGUUUGGCCCUAACUGAUGUCAAGUGGAGAUUCUGAGCUUGAUAGAGGAAGGUGAAGGCAUUUGAGUUGGAUGUUGCAGGGUGGGAAAGAGACUUGCAGAGAUAGGGAGGUCAGGAAGUCUUUCCAAGUUGGGGAAGUCAUAAGAGAAGAGCAGGGCUGACCAGGCCUGGGGGCUUAGGCCUGUAAUCCCAGCUACUUGGGAGGCUGAGGCAGGAGGAUCACCUGAGCCGGAGAGUUUGAGACUAGAAUGGGCAAGGUAGUGAGACCUCAUCUCAAAAACUAGAAAAAUAAAAAAUUUAGCCAGAUGUGGUGGUCAUACUCCUGUAGUCCUAAAUAUUGAGACUGAAGCGGGUGGAUGGCUUGAGCCCAGGAGACGGAGGCUGCAGUGAGCUGUGAUUAUACCACUGCACUGCAGCCUGAGGGACACAGCAAGACCCUGUCUCGAAAAACAAAACAAAACAAAAGAAGAAGAAGAGCAGGCUCAUUGCUGAGCUCAGGGUGGGGAGUGGACAGAGCAGUCUGGCCACGGCUGCAGGCCCUCCCUUGGGAGACAGAGGGGGCCAAUGCUGGAAAGCAGGGCGAAGUUUUCAUCAAUGAGUUGGGGGUGGUGAGGAAGCUUAGACUUUAUCCUGUGAGCCAGAAUUUCUCCAUGUGUGUCCACAUACCCUCCCAUAACAGAAUUACCUUGAGUUUCUUUAAAAUGCAGAUUCCAGGGCUCUGUCCCAUACUGGGGGCCAGGAGGCUGAAGGGGGUCAAGGCCGUGGUCUGUGGGAGGAAGAGGCUGCACCAUGGCUAUGGGUGCACCACAAGUAUUAUUCAGACUGGUGUCACCUGUAGGAAGCCGGGUGAUGCCUUUCCCAGCUGGACUGGGGACAGGUGAGGCGGGAAUGAAUAAUCCUCCCAAAGGGCAAUUGGGAACACCCAAGCUCAAACGUGGCAAGUGACUUGCCCAGGGUCACACUGUCAAUUACUUGCAGGUGUGGGGCUGACCAGUUAUGGAACAGGCUUCCUCUCCCAAUCUCAGGGCCUCGGGUGGUCCUCGAGGUGCCGCAGGUGGAAGAAGAACAGGCCAAGGCAAAUGCCUCCGGUACCCAGCACUGCCUGGUGCACAGUAGUGGUUGAUCAGUAAUUGUUGAACCAAUCAGGGUUUCUGUUUGCUUGAAGGAAAGGGUAGGAGUGGAGGGUGAGUGACUGGGUGAAUGGGUGCUAUGAGGACAAAGGAGAGUGGAGUUUAGAGGUAGCACUAGUGUCGCAAGCCUGAAGGUUUACCAGAGACAGAGGGGUGAAAAGAUGAGUGGGGCACUAAGCAUAUUGAAUGUGAGAGCUGCUGGAAAUGCAGGAUUGGGGCGUGCUGGGUGGGGCAGGUGAUGUGUGCAGCUGUGGAAGCUGCUACCAAGUCAAGGGCUCUUUUGUAAAAGAAGACACUGAACUAAAAGAUGCUUAGAAGCCUGUCCAGUUCCAAAGCCAUUGGCAUCUUCUCUAAUUAAAGAGUGAACUCCAGUUUCUUAUGAUGUGGGAGUAGAAUUUGGCUGGUCUUUAAUAUCUCACAAAGGGUCUCUUUCUCAGGAAGGCAUGUGUGUGAUUUGGGAGAGGUGAAGAUGAGAAGUCUGAAUCCUACCUACUUGGUUCUCUCCCGUGCAUCAUGGAUGUCAGGAAACACUGUUGAUAUCUCCUGUGCACUGUCAAUGUCCCUCUCUGUGUGUCUUUGAAUGGGGAGCAAGGGGCAUAAGCCAGAUCACCCCAGGCGGUGCCGCACUUUAAGAGGUAUCUGGACCAGCCCUCAGGAGCAUGCAGCCCUUGUCAGAGGAACUUUUGAAGAAACUGGGUAACAGAAUACUUGAGAGACAGACUUGCUGUCCUCAACCACCCCAGGGGUUGUCUGGAGAAAAAGGGUCAGAGAUGUUCUGUGUGGUCCUCGGGACAGAAUCAAAACCAAAAUCUCAAAGUACAUCCUACCCUGCCUUUAACUGAACGGGAUAGUCUGCUGUUUGCAAAAAUAUACAUGCCAAGACACGUCCUUUGUGCAGGUGGGGAACAAAGAUGUUGGCUGGGGGCUUAAUUCUACAGCACUGCCCAUUGCCCUGCUGUGGCAUUCAUCAGUGGAGCCCACAUGGUUCCACUUGGGGUGCUCUAAGUUUCCUCCUAGACCCAUGGGUUUGUAUGAGCCAUGCCAACCAUGACACCAUGACCUGUCUGAAAUGGACUCCACCUUGGUCAGAAUGGAACCAUCUAAGCCCUUGGGACUUGCACCCUCUGUUGAGCUUUGAGAUCAUCUCAGAAAUGGUACUCUCCCUGCAGACUCAGAGCCUUUAGACUCAGGGCUGGUGGCCCUUGACACGCCUCUCUCACCACCAGAUAAUUAUAUUUUCAGGCAGCUGUUCCUUGGGGAGGAAUAUUGAGUGCCGUCCCAUGUGCUAUCUGUUUCUGACCAUUCUGAUUCUGCUGCUGACCUCAGACUGCCCAUGUUGUGGCUACCUCUCCCAUCUGAGUCCCUGCACUGCCCAGUCACAGACAUCUGCUGCCGGACGCCACACUGCCCUGAUGGCUCAGAGCGGCCAGCUCCAACCUGCGUGAUCUCACAGGCAUUGUGGCCUGGGCGUCAGGGUGCUGUGAGAAACACCAGGAAACACUGAUAUUUUUAGUGCAAAUGAUGAAAAACGUUAUGCUAAGUGAAAGAAGCCAGACACAAAAGGACAUAUGGCGGGUGAUUCCAUUUUUAUGAAAUGUCCAGAUAAGGCAAAUUUAUAGAGAUGGAAACUAGAUGAAUUAGUGGCUGCCAGGGGCUGGAGGGAAGGGAAUGUGGAGUGAUUGCUAAUGGGUACAGGAUUUCUUUUCAGAGUGAUACAUGUGUUCUGGAAUUACAUCAUUGGGAUGGUUGCACAACCCUGUGAAUUUUAUGGUCCCUUGGAGCUUCCUUGGGCGCUUCCUGGAAGGAGGUGCUGCAUUCACCCUGCCAGGGCCAGGUUGGGACAAUGAGAGGCAGAGACUGCCCCAUUUCUGUGUGGCAAACAAGAAACAUGGUUUAUCGGUUCUUCUGAGGCUUCAGUUGUACCUCAGACCCUAAAGGGCCCAGCUCUGCCCAUCUCUUCCAUGCAAAGAUGAAGGGAGGGGACAGGGGCUGGCACUGUGGUACCCUGAAGGAGGCACUUAGGACGGUGAUGAUUCUAGGCCCUGAUGAAUUCAUUUUUUAAGCCAGCAAACCCUCCUGGUCCCCUGAGUUCAGGAUACCGUAUUUGUCCAAGCAAAGGAUAGCUCAGGAAUACAGAAAUGAGUCUGAUCCUAGGCAGGACUCAGGGAACACCAUGAAUCCUUGAGAACCAUGGGACGGAGAAUCAGAGUCCUGAGCUGUGGAUCCAGCCCAGCCACUUUCCACCUCUCUGAACCUCUGUUUCCUCAUCUGCAAAACGAAGUGAUAAGCCCCUUCCCAGAGGGCUGUUUUGAGGAAAUUCUUAGUUAUGAAGUAUGUUAGACAUUGUGUUUGCAGUCUUAGGGGGCAGUUGGAGCCAUGAACAGGAGGUCUGCAAGGAGGAACUUGGGUGAAAUUAAAUGAGACAGUGGCUACAGGGGCCUUUGGUGAGCUGUAGUCACUGCACUAACGUAAGGCGGCAUUGUUGGGAUUAUGAUCCAUCUGAAACAGGGGUGUAAACACCGGCCAGGGGAAGGCAGAAUGGGUUCUGUCUGAGAUGGAAAGAGGUCCCAGGGAGAAACUGGCAGUGGUGACAAGAAGGAUUUGGCUGAACAAAGAAGGGAAGAUGGGGGACCGGGCAGCAGGCCAAGGGAGGGGCUUGAACCCUGGCAGGAGGCAGAAAGGGUGAGAGGAGCUGGGGCACAGUGUGGGAUUUUCAGAGUUCACCUGGUUGAAUGGAAGAAAGCCUGUAUGAACUGCAAGAGCUUAUUUUUUGGAAAUGCAGCCCCACGAAAUCAUACUUGACAACAUCGUCUUGUUCAGGGAGCACAGAGUGGGAGCUUGGGGGGUCUCAGGGCAAGUUUAAGAAGGCUGAGGAUGAUGACUGCUCCCCUCAGGCACACAAACAGUACAUUCCCUGAGUGCUUUUGAGAGCUCAGAUGUUGUCAAAAAAGGAAGAUCUGGAGGUCAGAUCAGGACCUAGAGUGCGAAUGCCUCACAAGAAAUUGCGCUCGGAAUUCAAAUUUGCUUUUUGACCAGUGUGCAGAAAUUCCAAGCCCUGUUUAGGUCUUGGAGUUGGGAGGGAGGAGGAGAAGGAAAAGUAGGAACACAGAGACCAGUCAUCCAAGGGAAAUGAUUUAAGAGCCUCCCAGACAGUGAAAAAUCCACCAUUCAUUAUUGAGGGAAAAAGCAGUUAACAAGAAACUCAGCCCUAAGGUUAACAUGGUCAUGCAGAGUGACUUGCAUGCAGGGAGGACUUUGAUGCAAGUGUAUGUAGGUGGCUGCAGUUAACCAGGGAAGACUUCCUGGAGGAUCUCAGAUACAGGGAAGGAAGGUAGGAUCCACUCGGUCAUUCUGACCAAGAUCAGGGCCCUUGGGGGUUUCCUGGAUGUUGGCCAGCACUCAGGGUUCAAAUCCUGCCUUUGCCUUUUUGUGUCUGAUCUGAAGCAAUUAGCCUCAGCCCUGCCCCCAUCUAUAAAAAGGGGAUGUGUAAGAAUCAAUAUGUUUGUUUUGUUUGGGCAUGGUAGGUGGUCAGUUAAGUGUUUUUAAAUAUUUUUAAUAUUUUACUGAGUGUGGAGUUCUGUAUCAGGCACUGGAAAUGCAAAUCUGAAUGGAGCCUAGUUCCUGCCCAGGCCAGGGGGAGGCAGGUUCACCUGGAAGACACUGAUGAACUGGUUAAGCCACAGGCCUGGCU
rnacentral:lncRNA from 1 species